rnacentral:rRNA from 1 species
AGGGUAACCGACGGUGGACAUAUCGGAAGUGCGAAUGCUGACAUGAGUAACGACAAUGGGAGUGAAAAACUCCCACGCCGAAAGACCAAGGGUUCCUGCGCAACGUUAAUCGACGCAGGGUGAGUCGGUCCCUAAGGCGAGGCUGAAGAGCGUAGUCGAUGGGAAACGGGUUAAUAUUCCCGUACUUCUAGUUACUGCGAUGGGGGGA